CUUGAACCAAUAGAAUCUCCAACACCUAUUUCCAACACUGAAGAAACGCAGAAAGUUGAGGAUUUGUUUGUCAACUCAUCAGACAUAGAUCUCUAAGGCAGAAUUUCUGUUGACAGCCUGUUUAGUGGAUAUUACAGUUUGCAGUGUGAAUCUAUAUUGUCAACAACCACAGAAUGUAAUAUGGCUCUGCACCACGCCCUUGGAGAUGCUUGUGAACACAAUCAUACUUCUUUUAACAACUACUAUCGUCAUGAACAAAUGGAAACUUCUACACCUAUUGUUGUCAACAAAGAAACACAGACUGAUUACAAGCAAUUUCUCUAAUCACUUUCAAUCAAAGAAACUCAAAACAAACUGUUAGCAAGAAAUCACAAGUUAAGUAAAGGAGUUCAACACAAUCUUAUUACUUGGGCUCAAAAAGAUGCAGCGUGUAGUCCUUACUGGAAAGUGAUGCCACUUUUGGCAACUAGUCCUGUUCUGAAGUUGAGGAGCUCGCAAUUGUCAAAAGUGAAUCCGUGGGAUGUGACAGCACAGGAUUUUAACAGUCCAUCACCUAUCAAGUGUACAUCACCACAGCAGUCUUGGCAAAUCAGUUCCACCCCAUUAUCUGCUAAACGAAAACUGAUAGAUUCACUCGCUAUUGAAACGUCGUCUUACGGUAAUGUGAGAAAGAAGAGGAAAUGUGCAAGAUCUCUUUCAUAUGAAGAAAUCUCUUCAAAUAAAGGUGAUACAUCUUCGUGUGGAAAAUCAAUGCCGAAAGAAGAUUCAUCUUGGUAUCAAUAAUUCACGUCAAAUGGCAUAUCAGUACUGCCCUCCCCCUGUCGUUUGUUUACUGUGCGACUGAAUUUAAAC